rnacentral:rRNA from 1 species
ACACUCCUACGGGAGGCAGCAGUGGGGAAUUUUACGCAAUGGGGGAAACCCUGACGUAGCGACACCGCGUGAGCGAAGAAGCCCUUUGGGGUGUAAAGCUCUGUCAGCUGGAACGAAAACAAUGACGGUACCAGCAGAGGAAGCAUCGGCUAACUACGUGCCAGCAGCCGCGGUAAGACGUAGGAUGCGAGCGUUGUCCGGAUUUAUUGGGCGUAAAGAGUUCGUAGGUGGUUUGUUAAGUUUGGUGUUAAAGAUCGGGGCUCAACCCUGGGACUGCACUGAAUACUGGCAGACUCGAGUGUGGUAGAGGCUAGUGGAAUUCCCAGUGUAGCGGUGAAAUGCGUAGAUAUUGGGAAGAACACCGGUGGCGUAGGCGACUAGCUGGGCCAUAACUGACGCUGAGGAACGAAAGCCAGGGGAGCGAAUGGGAUUAGAAACCCCUGUAGUCCCAUGAU